rnacentral:tRNA from 1 species
GGAGGGAUGACCGAGCGGUAAGGUGCCGGGCUGCUAUCUCGAGGCCAUGGCGACGCCCUGCGCAGGUUCGCCCCUUCGCUUCCUCCG